AACACCCUGCUGUGUGCGUAUAAUCGACUAAGUUUUGAGCCAACACAAUGACAUUGGGAAUUUGGAGUUUAUUUAUUAAGUAAAUGCCCUACAAUCUGUAAGGACUUACGCAAUAAGUAACAGAAUACCCACCUGCGAGAGCAGGUUUCAAAACAUUCGACCACGGCAUGGCGGGGAAAAC
rnacentral:other from 2 species